UGCAAGUCGAGCGAAUGAUGAGGAAGCUUGCUUCCUCUGAUUUAGCGGCGGACGGGUGAGUAACACGUGGGCAACCUACCUUAUAGUUUGGGAUAACUCCGGGAAACCGGGGCUAAUACCAAAUAAUCUCUUUUACUUCAUGGUGAAAGACUGAAAGACGGUUUCUCGUUGUCCUUUUAGGAGGGGCCCGCGGCCCAUUACUUAGUUGGGGAGGUACCGGCUCCCCAGGGCAACGAUGCGUACCCAACCUGAGGGGGUGACCGGCCCCCUGGGAACGAAAACCCGCCCAAAACUCCUACGGGAGGCACCAGUAGGAAUUCUUCCACAUGGGGCAAAACCCUGAGGGACCACCCCCCGGGGAUUGAAAAAGGUUUUCGGUUCUAAAACUUUUGUUGUAGGGAAAAAACAGUUACAGUAUAACCGGGCUGUCCCUUGACGGUACUUUAUAAAAAAGCCCCGGUUAACUAGUGGCCACCAGCGGGGGUAAUACGUAGGGGGCAGCGUUGUCGAGAUAUUAUGGGCGUAAAGCGCGCCGCAGGUGUUUUCUAAGUCUGAUGUGAAAGCCACGCUUCCACCGUGGGAGGGUUAUUGGAAACUGGGGAACUUGAGUGCAAAAGAGGAUAGUGGAAUUCCAAGUGUAGCGGUGAAAUGCGUAGAAGAUUUGGAGGAACACCAGUGGAGAAGGCGACUAUCUGGUCUGUAACUGACACUGAGCGCGAAAGCGUGGAGAGCAACAGGAUAGAUACCCUGGUAGUCACGCCGUAAACGAUGAGUGCUAGUGUUAGGGGUUUCCGCUCUUAGUGCUGCAGCUAACGCAUAAGCACUCGCUGGAGAUACGUCGCAGACUGAUACUCAAAGUAGUCGACGGGCCGCACAGCGGUAGCAUCAUGUGUUACUCGAGCAACGCCGCGUGAGUGAAGAAGGAUUUCGGUUCGUAAAACUCUGUUGUAAGGGAAGAACAAGUACAGUAGUAACUGGCUGUACCUUGACGGUACCUUAUUAGAAAGCCACBRGGCUAACUACGUGCCAGCAGCCGCGGUAAUACGUAGGUGGCAAGCGUUGUBRCUGGAAUUAUUGGGCGUAAAGCGCGCGCAGGUGGUUUCUUAAGUCUGAUGBRUGAAAGCCCACGGCUCAACCGUGGAGGGUCAUUGGAAACUGGGGAACUUGBRAGUGCAGAAGAGGAUAGUGGAAUUCCAAGUGUAGCGGUGAAAUGCGUAGABRGAUUUGGAGGAACACCAGUGGCGAAGGCGACUAUCUGGUCUGUAACUGACBRACUGAGGCGCGAAAGCGUGGGGAGCAAACAGGAUUAGAUACCCUGGUAGUBRCCACGCCGUAAACGAUGAGUGCUAAGUGUUAGGGGGUUUCCGCCCCUUAGBRUGCUGCAGCUAACGCAUUAAGCACUCCGCCUGGGGAGUACGGUCGCAAGABRCUGAAACUCAAAGGAAUUGACGGGGGCCCGCACAAGCGGUGGAGCAUGUGBRGUUUAAUUCGAAGCAACGCGAAGAACCUUACCAGGUCUUGACAUCCCAUUBRGACCACUGUAGAGAUACAGUUUUCCCUUCGGGGACAACGGUGACAGGUGGBRUGCAUGGUUGUCGUCAGCUCGUGUCGUGAGAUGUUGGGUUAAGUCCCGCABRACGAGCGCAACCCUUGAUCUUAGUUGCCAUCAUUUAGUUGGGCACUCUAABRGGUGACUGCCGGUGACAAACCGGAGGAAGGUGGGGAUGACGUCAAAUCAUBRCAUGCCCCUUAUGACCUGGGCUACACACGUGCUACAAUGGACGAUACAAABRCGGUUGCCAACUCGCGAGAGGGAGCUAAUCCGAUAAAGUCGUUCUCAGUUBRCGGAUUGUAGGCUGCAACUCGCCUACAUGAAGCCGGAAUCGCUAGUAAUCBRGCGGAUCAGCAUGCCGCGGUGAAUACGUUCCCGGGCCUUGUACACACCGCBRCCGUCACACCACGAGAGUUUGUAACACCCGAAGUCGGUGAGGUAACCUUUBRUGGAGCCA
rnacentral:rRNA from 1 species